GACGAACGCUGGCGGCGUGGAUUAGGCAUGCAAGUCGAACGGUAUCAUCCUUUCGGGGGUGAGAGAGUGGCGAACUGGUGAGUAACACGUAGGUUAUCUACCCUCAAGACGGGGACAACCCAGGGAAACUUGGGCUAAUACCGGAUGUGAGCAACUUUUAGUUGUUUGAAAGGUGGCGUAAGCUGUCGCUUGGGGAUGAGCCUGCGUCCUAUUAGUUAGUUGGUGAGGUAACGGCUCACCUAGGCAAUGAUAGGUAGGCGGCCUUAACGGGUGGUCGCCCACACUGGGAUUGAGAUACGGCCCAGACUCCUACGGGAGGCAGCAGUCGAGAAUAGUCUACAAUGGUCGGAAGCUGAUAGUGCGACGCCGCGUGAACGAUGAAUCCUUCGGGGUUAAAGUUCUUUUAUAUGUGAGCAGUGCUUCUUAUAUUAACAGUAUGGGGAUAGAGAUAUUAGCAUAUAGAAUAAGCAAACGGCUAAACUCCGUGCCCAGCCAGCCGCGGUUAA
rnacentral:rRNA from 1 species